rnacentral:tRNA from 2 species
GCGGAUGUGGCGAAAUUUGGUAGACGCGCCAGAUUUAGGUUCUGGUAGGGAAAUCCUAUGAGAGUUCAAGUCUCUCCAUCCGUA